rnacentral:rRNA from 1 species
CGAAUGCUGACAUAAGUAACGAUAAAGCGGGUGAAAAGCCCGCUCGCCGGAAGACCAAGGGUUCCUGUCCAACGUUAAUCGGGGCAGGGUGAGUCGACCCCUAAGGCGAGGCCGAAAGGCGUAGUCGAUGGGAAACAGGUUAAUAUUCCUGUACUUGGUGUUACUGCGAAGGGGGGACGGAGAAGGCUAUGUUGGCCGGGCGACGGUUGUCCCGGUUUAAGCGUGUAGGCUGGUUUUCCAGGCAAAUCCGGAAAAUCAAGGCUGAGGCGUGAUGACGAGGCACUACGGUGCUGAAGCAACAAAUGCCCUGCUUCCAGGAAAAGCCUCUAAGCAUCAGGUAACAUCAAAUCGUACCCCAAACCGACACAGGUGGUCAGGUAGAGAAUACCAAGGCGCUUGAGAGAACUCGGGUGAAGGAACUAGGCAAAAUGGUGCCGUAACUUCGGGAGAAGGCACGCUGAUAUGUAGGUGAAGUCCCUCGCGGAUGGAGCUGAAAUCAGUCGAAGAUACCAGCUGGCUGCAACUGUUUAUUAAAAACACAGCACUGUGCAAACACGAAAGUGGACGUAUACGGUGUGACGCCUGCCCGGUGCCGGAAGGUUAAUUGAUGGGGUCAGCGCAAGCGAAGCUCUUGAUCGAAGCCCCGGUAAACGGCGGCCGUAACUAUAACGGUCCUAAGGUAGCGAAAUUCCUUGUCGGGUAAGUUCCGACCUGCACGAAUGGCGUAAUGAUGGCCAGGCUGUCUCCACCCGAGACUCAGUGAAAUUGAACUCGCUGUGAAGAUGCAGUGUACCCGCGGCAAGACGGAAAGACCCCGUGAACCUUUACUAUAGCUUGACACUGAACAUUGAGCCUUGAUGUGUAGGAUAGGUGGGAGGCUUUGAAGUGUGGACGCCAGUCUGCAUGGAGCCGACCUUGAAAUACCACCCUUUAAUGUUUGAUGUUCUAACGUGGACCCGUGAUCCGGGUUGCGGACAGUGUCUGGUGGGUAGUUUGACUGGGGCGGUCUCCUCCUAAAGAGUAACGGAGGAGCACGAAGGUUGGCUAAUCCUGGUCGGACAUCAGGAGGUUAGUGCAAUGGCAUAAGCCAGCUUGACUGCGAGCGUGACGGCGCGAGCAGGUGCGAAAGCAGGUCAUAGUGAUCCGGUGGUUCUGAAUGGAAGGGCCAUCGCUCAACGGAUAAAAGGUACUCCGGGGAUAACAGGCUGAUACCGCCCAAGAGUUCAUAUCGACGGCGGUGUUUGGCACCUCGAUGUCGGCUCAUCACAUCCUGGGGCUGAAGUAGGUCCCAAGGGUAUGGCUGUUCGCCAUUUAAAGUGGUACGCGAGCUGGGUUUAGAACGUCGUGAGACAGUUCGGUCCCUAUCUGCCGUGGGCGCUGGAGAACUGAGGGGGGCUGCUCCUAGUACGAGAGGACCGGAGUGGACGCAUCACUGGUGUUCGGGUUGUCAUGCCAAUGGCACUGCCCGGUAG